GACGGAGGGUGCAAGCGUUGUUCGGAUUGACUGGGCGUAAAGGGCGCGUAGGCGGCCUGAAAGGUCAGCUGUGAAAACUCGAGGCUCAACCUCGAGACGCCGAUGGAAACCAUCGAACUAGAGUCCGGAAGAGGAGAGUGGAAUUCCUGGUGUAGCGGUGAAAUGCGCAGAUAUCAGGAAGAACACCCGUGGCUAAGGCGGCUCUCUAGUACGGUACUGACGCUGAGACGCGAAAGCGUGGGGAGCGAACAGG
rnacentral:rRNA from 1 species